CCUGCGAAAGGAUCAUUGUUGAU
rnacentral:rRNA from 1 species